rnacentral:rRNA from 1 species
UACGGAGGGUGCGAGCGUUGUCCGGAAUCACUGGGCGUAAAGGGCGCGUAGGCGGCUUCUCCAGCGUGUGGUGAAAGUCCGGGGCUCAACCCCGGAUCGGCCGUGCGGACUGGGGAGCUCGAGUUCUGUAGAGGCAGGCGGAAUUCCGGGUGUAGCGGUGGAAUGCGUAGAGAUCCGGAAGAACACCGGUGGCGAAGGCGGCCUGCUGGGACAGUGCUGACGCUGAAGCGCGACAGCGUGGGGAGCAAACAGG